ACGACCCUGACGGAUAAGCGGUAUAGAAAAUGGAUGGAUGGAUGACUUGCUUCAUUGCAAAGGUAAUGACUUUAAAUACAUUGUGUACUCUCCUAUUUUAUUUAGGUAUUUUGUUCUGUGUUCUAAAAAUGUAUUUUUAUUUACAGCUUGAGCCAGAGCGACAAAGCGAUGAGGCCAAGGGAAAGAAGAAACAGAAACGAGGCUGACAAGGACAUAAAUGUCCAAUUUGUGGACAUAUGUAUGCAGGCAUUGUCCAGCACCUGAAAGGGACAGAGCAGCUUCAGAGCAAAUCUGGAUUGCCCAGUCAGGCUCUGUAAAUCCAAAUACAUCAAUAGGCUUGAUAAGCACCUGAUGACAGUCCAUCAACUGAAGGCAAAGGACCGGUUCAUCGCGAGGGAACUUGCUCCAUGCCAGCCCAGAUCCACAGCCUCCACCACCUGCUGCUUCUCCCAGUGAGGGUCUCCACAUUUUAGCAUUUCA